AAAUCAAAUAUAUGUCUAACAAAUCGAAAGUAAAGUCUACACCAAAAAAACCUAUUUGGUGAAGAUCCUUCCAAAUCUUCGGUGACAACCUGAAAAUUUAUACAGAAGAAAGAUUGGUGAAGAUCCCAAUAAGAUAUAAAACACUAAAUGAAUAACUCAAAUCGUUAGCUCAUAUUGCACCAAAUUAGUGGCUAAAUUAAUCAUGAGGCAAUUCAAAGAGUAAGGACCAAUUAGAUACAAUUGAGAAGCUUAGGGAUAAAACUAAACAAAUGCAAAUCAGAUUUUGAAGUAUUUUUGUCAUAGAGAUAGAUAAUUAUAUGCCCAUACAUAUAUGUGUAAUUAGCUAAAGAUAAGGCAACUGAUAAGCACAUCAAAAGUCGUCCAAAUUCAACGAAAAUUAAAUGUGUAAAUAUGUAGAUGAAGAAAUAGAAGAACUAAUCACUCACAAGCUGAGUGGGAUAAAAAAUUGCAAAAUUUAUGCAAAUAACUGAUACAAGACAUUAAAUCCAAUAGCACACAUCCCACAAAAUCUUAAGUUCAUAAACUUUUUGAGAGAAAGGCUCACAUAGAGUGGAGAAGCAAACGACGACAACAAGUAUGCAUUUUGGAACAAGUUAAAAUCAUGCGUAUAUAACAAAAUGCCAAUUAGACUCAAGCAAUCAGGACUUUUAUUUGCUCAAUGUGAGGGAAGAAAGANNN
rnacentral:lncRNA from 1 species